AAAUUCAAAUCUGUUUGAAAACAAAUUUUAAAUUUUCAAAAACAUGUUUAAGUUGUUUUACUGGAUAGAGGGGAUCAUAACGAAGAUGUGGGUGUUGGUUUCGUUGGAUUUGGACAAACGAGUAAAAAGUAGCGAUCGUUUGAAAAACAGGGACUAAUCUGUAAAUAAGAUAUUCACGGACGGGUCCCUGGCCGAAAAUUAAAAUAAAAAAAAACUGUCGAGCAAACGCUCGCUAACAGAACCUAAUCUAGCGAAUCUGUUCACUUAAGAACCUAAACGAACGAACGAUCUCUAAAUAAAUUAACCUAAACAAAUAAACCGAAACAAAAAGAAAACCGGGCAAACCGGGGACGGUUUUAUACCGGACCAGGAGAACCGGCGGGUUGGGCGCUGGAUCGGGCGACGGGCGGUUCCGGCGACGGCGGCGAUUCCAGCGAUCCCCGGCGACGGCGGGCAGCAACUCCGGCGACGACGGGCUUGGUGGCGACGGGCGGAGACGGCGGCUAGUGCGGCGCGGGGCGGCGGCGCAAGCGAGCGGGGAGGCGGCGGUGCACGGCAGCGGCGAUGGCGGGAUCUGCGGCGGUGGCGCGACUACGAGGAGCGGCGGCGGCAGCGAAAACGGGAUCCAGGGGUCCCGGGGCGCGCUUUAUAAAGAGGCCGGGGUGAGGGGUGGCGUGGGGAAGGAGGUAAGAGGAGGCCGGCGGCGGCACGGAGGCGGCGGCGAUGGCGUGGUGGCUCGGGACUCCGUCCCGAGCUCGGGGACGAGCGGCGCGGCUGGGCUGGUCUUGGCCUGACCCGGUUGGCUGGGCCGGCCCAAUACGGCGGAGGUAGUUUUUUUUAUAUAAACAUUUUUGCAGACAAGAAAAGAAACAAAAAUAAAAUAAAAUAAAAAUAUAAUAUAGGCAUAUUAUAUAUCAAAAUUUCCAGAAAAACAUUUUCUACAACAUGGACAUUUUUCUAGCAUUAAAUAAAAUACACACACAUUCAAAUAAUUCAAACAGUGCUCCUAUUCUAAUAAAAUCCAAUAAAAAUCAUUUUAAAAUACCAAAAUGAUUUCAAAUUUAUUUCUCUCCAAUUUUCUAUUGUAGGGAAUCAUGUUACCCUAUUUUCCAUAUAUUUUAUUUUUGGAGAAAAAUAAUUUGAAUAAAAACCAAAUAACUCCAAAUUGAAAAUAAUUUCCAAAAGGAUUUUAAAUUUGAUCCUUUUAAACUUCCAACUCAUAUUUCAUAUGUUUUGAAGAAGUCAUUUUAUCUUCUCUCAUGAAAAUCAUUGAGUUGCUUGAAGUUUCCGAAUUUGAAAAUAUUUCCAAAUGAAAUUCAAAUAUUUUCGAAUACCCUUUUCAUUUAAUUAAAUGGAAGAAGUCAUAUCAUCUUCACUCAAGAGUUUUGUAUUUGAAAAGUAUUUGAAUUCGCGGAGAUGCAAAAUUGGAAGUUUGGGAAAGUCCUUUUAUUCCCUCUCAUUUAACUUUCAAAAGUUUCAAAUUUCACUCACUUUGAGUCAAUCAAUCACCCAACAAUCAAACAAACAAUCAAAACUAUUUAUUUAUUAUAACAUUCCAAAAAUUAGAAUUUUUGGAUGUUACAAACCUACCACCCUUAAAAUGAAUCUCGUCCUCGAGAUUCGGAGAGGCUAGAAAGAAAUAGGUUAGGUUUGGGGUCUUCUCAAAAUCCAUCAAUCAUCACCGGGGGUCUGGGGUGCUACCACCCUUAGAAACAUCGUUUCGGUCCCAUCAAGAACUCUGAUACUCCAUCCUUAUUCUUGACAAUGUCGGUCUUCUCAGAUUUUUUGGAAAAACAAAUCCUUCUCUGGGCUCUUCCGGUAGUGGCAUAACCUUUACCGCAAUUCUUUUGUCCUUUUUCUUGGUAAGGUUAUUCCGGGACUGGGUCUUCUUAGCUGAUUGGUCUGACGCCAAUACUAAACAACUAUCGAUAUCUCAUCGUGGUCAACAAUUUAUGAUUUCUCCUGCAGGAAAUGGGUCUGGGCUGAACCUCACCGUAUAUCCUACGGUUGGCAACAACCGCCUUGUACAAGGGAAAAUACUUAUACCAUUCUAAGGUUCAAACAAGGUUUAAUAUCGUCGUCUCUCUACUAUAGGCACGUCACUCAGAUUUACCAUCCCAUAUAGAAAAGCGAAUAAUAAGAGUAAGUCGGUAUGGUGAUCAAUCCAUCCCGCACCCAAAUCAUUACCUUGUAUAUGGUUUAGCGAAUCUCCCAUGCUAACACUUUGUCAUCCUCACCGGCAUUGCAUAAUUUCUCUUGUCGACGAACCAGGUUCGGAUAAAUCCAUUGAUUCUGCAAGCCAAACAAACAUCUAUCGUUUCUUCACAGCUCUCAAGUUUUGCGUAAACUCCUAUAAAAUCGUCUGUGGGUAAGGUCGUAACUCCUUCCAGGGUUUUUCCUUUAGCAAGAGUGUGCUUGCUUCUUGGCAGGUCCUGGGGCCUGUGGGUUAUGGCCCAUCUCAUCACUUGCAAACCUUGAAUUCAUCAUCGGGGCAACUGAUCCUUAUUCCAGCAUCCAGCUUCCUAGCAUUCUUAAAUCCAUCCAAUUUUAUUGUCCUUCUUCGUUCUAUUGGCACCAAACUAAGACGUGAUUACUCUGACUCAUCAUGGAGUUUACCAUUGCUCCAUAGCCAACAUUCUACCUCCUUUAUAUCCAAUAGUACUUAAUCCCUUCAUAUUCUUGGGGUAUCCAACAUAUCAAGAUAAAAGUCAUACUUAUUUUGUCCGGAAUCCACUCCGUGGAAUAUCAUUAUCUUUUCCAGGGGUCAAGGGUUCUCACAGUUACUACCACCCUUGAAAUGAACAAACUCAUCCAUAGACCAUAUUUCUCAUAUCCUCGAAAAUGGUCAAGAUAUUUCUUCAUAGAGUCACUACUCAUAAAAUCCAAAUCUUUACCAACGAUGCUAACUUUAUUGAUUCUCCAAUUAUUACAAUCUCCUUCAUUUCCUUUACAUGCCUCCACUCAACACCUCAGUAUAAAAGAAUUGUUCCCACUACUACUACUAUAUUUCUUCUGUUGCGAACUCAACUAUUUAGCACAAGCCUCCUUCUCUUUGGGACAAUCUCUGGCAAAGUUCCCUGCUUCAUUACAGCAGAAACAUAUUGCUUCAAACAAGUCUCGUGGUUUCCUUAUGACUACAUAGCCUCCUUGGGUCCUCGGCUUCCUUUUUGGGCAACUGCUGAAGUAGUGCCCUGACUCCUUGCAUCUAUAACAGGUGAUAUGACUCAGAUCCUUCCUGGUAUCCAAUCUACUUCUCUUCCUGGACUUUUCCGUUCCAAUCAGGGCUUCUAUUUCCUGUGGGUCAUACUCUACUUCCUCUGUUGGGAAUUCUACUAGAUCCCCAUUCAGACUUUUUGGGAGAUGUGUCCUUCUUCUCCACAUGAAUAGCAAGACUUGGUGCAGGGUCUAAUUAGGUCUUCUUCGGGCGUGUCCUCCACCUCUUCCUUCAUCACAGGUUCUUCUAAAAUUUCCAUAUGGUCUCCUUUCAUUGCUUCUUUCUUUUGCUGGAUGUUUCUUUGAACCACGGGGUAAAUGUGACACUUAGCAGGGUAGUGGGUAGUUCCUUCACACAAGAAACAAGUAAUCUGCCUAGUUGGGCAUUCUUCAGCUGGGUGACUUCCUUCACAAUUAGGGCAUUCAUCCUUGUGUUCUUUAUGGUUGUGUCCUAUUUCUCCACAAAGCUUGCAUGCACAAGGUUUCUUCAUAUCCUUUCCAUAAGGCAUCAAUUUCUGGGACACAAACCGAGACUUUGGCAGAGUCACCUUAAAUUCUUUCCAAGUGGUUACUCUGCCAUCCAUUGAUGGUUUGGUACAUCCUCCACCAAGUAGCAGCACCUCUUUCAAAGCACUGAAGAGCAUGCUGGGUCAUAUCCUUUCCGACUAUAGGGUUAUUCUUCAUGUGAUCCUCCAUGUUCUGAAUCCAUCGAUCCGUCUCCCAUUGACUCAUCGGUCCAGAAAAUAUAUAAGCUCAUCUCCAUUCAUCCUCUAUUGGGUCCAUGGGUUUGGGGUGGGAUAAGAGAGAGAGAGAGGGAUACACACAAUGCAAACAAUGGUUUUGAAAAGACGAAUUUUAUUUGUGGCUGUCGGGAAAAACAUCAAACAAAUGACAGCUCACAAUCGUCGCAUCUAACGUAGGUAUAACAGGGGUUUGGUAUUCUAAAGGUCAACGUCGCCAAACUCUUCAAGUCUUGUUCAUGUCUCCGAUGGCUUCUACCGAUCAUGCUUGUCCUUCUCAAGUUCUUUUGCCGGAUCAUCUCUGUUGACACGAAGUCUCUCGUGACAUCCUUUAUUAUUUCCGGAGUUGCGUUCCAAACUUCUGGGUUUUCAAUAUCCUUAGCAUGAACCAUGGUCCUAAUGUCCUUCAGUUCCUGACGGUUCUCCUGUAUCUCGGGGUUCUGCUCUUCUAGCUUGGCUACUUUGAGCUUCUGGGUCCUGAGUUCUUCACUAAAUGCUUCCUUGUCAAAUACAGCUUCCUGAAGGUUCCUCUUAAACUUACUAAUGUAACACUCCAGAUCCUGGCGAUACUCCAGCUAAGGUUAAAACUGUAUCCUUUGCUGAUAGAUGCUCCAUCAGCUUUCUACCAUCCAAUCCUUCCGAAGAAAUGCCUGCUUAACUCAGCACGGUGAUAAUAUCAUAAGUGGGCGAUAACAUCAUGGAUAGCCGUGUUUCUGCUCUUUGUCAUUUCCAUGAGCUAUCAUUCCAUAGUUGAUAUCUCUUGCCUUGGGGUUUCUUGACAAUAACUUUGAGCUCUAAUGCUCCAUGCUCCAGUCUUUCUCUGAUACACCUUGAUCUCGGGUAUUGACAUCUUCCAUAGUCGGCCAAGUUCCAUAGGGGUAGCCUUACUAGGUCAAAUCCAGGAAUUCUUCAGAGCCUUCAAAUUCUCCUAGUCUUCGGAGUCUUCAACCGUUGUAGUUUCCAUUAUCAUAAUGCAUGGUAAAAUCCUCUUCAUUCCGAAGUGGUCAUAGUUGUCCGAUAUCUUGUACUUCUUGAAGUGGUCUCAUCAGUCGAAUCUUCGCGUGGUCAAGAGCGGAAAAGGGGUAUGAUCUCACUAACAGGGAAUAUUUGAAUAAGCUCAGAAGAGAAGAGAGGUAAAAGAUCUUUUGAAAAUGAAGUUGUAGAGAAAAUCUUUCCUAUCGGCUUGCCAGUUUCUAGGGGUCACGUCCUACAGUCAACCUGGCUCUGAUACCAUCUUGUAGCGACCCGACCUCAGACGGUCAAGUCUCUGUGCUUAAGUGUCAUCCCUGGAUCGGUAUGCUGACACUCACAGUACUCGAGGAUUUAUAAUAGAGGUAAAUCACAUGUAUAAAUUAACGUAAAUACUAUUACCUCAAUCCAAAUAGCGGAAGUAACAACAAGGUUGUGGAUUCCCAUCAACACCAACAGCAAAUUUGAGUGUAGAAAUCGUAACCCUAACGUAUCACUUACUCGUCGUAAGAUUCCUGCAACAUGAGACGUUGCAGCCACAAAGGGUCAGUACAAUGAAUGUACUGGCAAAUUCACACCAUAGGAUAAUGAUGAAUAAUAACUAUCACUACAUGCAUAUAUGGCUGGUGGAAAGCUCUAAGUUUAUUUUUGCAUAAAGCCAAUUUUUCCCUACUGCAAAGUAAUAUAUUUUAUUUAACUACAAGGUUUGUUGAAAAUAUUGAGAAGGUUCCUCCAACUCAAUCCCAAAGUAAUAAUUAUAACCCAACAAAUUAAUUAAGUAAAGUGAUGAGAUCAACAUGAUAAUCCAAAUACCAGAGACUCAAGAUGUCCAUAACCGGGGACACGGCUAAUCAUGAUUAGUUUGUACACUCUGCAGAGGUUUGCGCACUUUUCCCCACAAGACUCGUUCUCCUCCGUUGGAUUUCUCGCACUACAUGGUGUUUGAGAAGCGGAUGAUCGAGACACAGUCUUUCAGAAGCAUUCACUCUAACCCCGGGUAGACAGUACCAACCUACAUCCCCUACAUCUGCUAGCCUACCACCGGAAGAGGUCAUGGAACAUACUCGACUAUGCUAGAGCUCAUAAUAGCUCGUGGCUGCACACGGAAGUUUCUAGCAUGAAUAAUCUUAUGAUCCCUUUGAGCCUGGGUGGCAUUCCAUAGGUUGAUCACACGGGUCCUCCGGGAUCCCCUUGGGCAAGCACUGGUUCUCCAGGUGCCUGGGCAGACCAUUGGGUGCUGCAGGGUGCCCCUACCAUUCCACCCAGAUGUGUAUUAAAGUUGCCACCUUAAGUUAACCAUUAAUUAACAAUCUCGCAUCUGUCAUGGAUUCACUCACCCAAACCACGUCUACGAGCAUAGCAUAGCAGUAUAAGCAUAACGUAGAAGUAACUCCCAACGUUUGAAUGCAGGAUAAUAGUUUUCUACCUCAUCAACUACUUCCCAAUACCCACAUGUUAUCAAGUCCUAACCAUGCAAUGUUUGAGGAUUGAAACUAAUGCAUAAAACUAGGUAUGAAAGGGAUAUGAUCAAAGUGUGAACUUGCCUGUACUGUUGAUAAAGAUGAUUCGCACUCAUAACUCCUGAUAGUUCUACUCGUCACACUCCGGUCGAUCUAGCGUAAGCAAGCAGUAGUAAUCACACAUAAGCAAUCACUCAAAAGACCAGAAAGAACAAAGAAGACAAUUCGGAAAACAUCAAAACCAGACAAAUAACUCUUGCAAUAGAAAACAAUUUCUAACAGUACCAAAAGUAAGUGAAUUUGGCCUUAUCAGAAAGUUUAGGUCAAUAGCUUCGAAUAGGAACAAGAAUCAACUAAAUCGGAGUUAUAAAACUCAACUUAUGAUCAAAAGAAGAUUCAAAUUCAAAUCUGUUUGAAAACAAAUUUUAAAUUUUCAAAAACAUGUUUAAGUUGUUUUACUGGAUAGAGGGGAUCAUAACGAAGACGUGGGCGUUGGUUUCGUUGGAUUUGGACAAACGAGUAAAAAGUAGUGAUCGUUUGAAAAACAGGGACUAAUUUGUAAAUAAGAUAUUCACGGACGGGUCCCUGGCCGAAAAUUAAAAUAAAAAGAAAAAACUAUCGAGCGAACGCUCGCUAACAGAACCUAAUCUAGCGAAUCUGUUCACUGAAGAACCUAAACGAACGAACGAUCUCUAAAUAAAUUAACCUAAACAAAUAAACCGAAA
rnacentral:lncRNA from 1 species